rnacentral:rRNA from 1 species
AACGAACGCUGGCGGCGUGCCUAACACAUGCAAGUCGAACGAGAAAGGUCGCAAGACUGAGUACAGUGGCGCACGGGUGAGUAAUACAUAGGAAUCUUCCCUUUAGUGAAGAAUACCCUGGAGAAAUCCAGGCUAAUACUGCAUAAGCCCAGAAAUGGGGAAAGGUGGCCUCAAGCUACCGCUGAAGGAUGAGCCUGUGUCCUAUUAGUUAGUUGGCAGGGUAAUGGCCUACCAAGACAAAGAUGGGUAUCCGGCCUGAGAGGGUGUACGGACACACUGGAACUGAAACACGGUCCAGACUCCUACGGGAGGCAGCAGUGGGGAAUAUUGCACAAUGGGCGCAAGCCUGAUGCAGCGACGCCCGCGUGGAGGAUGACGGUCUUCGGAUUGUAAACUCCUGUUAAGU